GAUCCUGGCUCAGGACGAACGCUGGCGGCGUGCUUAACACAUGCAAGUCGAACGUGAUUUUUUAUGGAAGGACCUUCGGGGACGGGAAAUAAAAUAGAAAGUGGCGAACGGGUGAGUAACACGUGAGCAACCUACCUUACACAGGGGGAUAGCCGUUGGAAACGACGAUUAAUACCGCAUGAGACCACAAUACUGCAUGGUAAAGGGGUCAAAGAUUUAUCGGUGUAAGAUGGGCUCGCGUCUGAUUAGCUAGUUGGAAAGGGG
rnacentral:rRNA from 1 species